rnacentral:rRNA from 1 species
AUUGAACGCUGGCGGCAUGCUUUACACAUGCAAGUCGAACGGUAACAGGCCGCAAGGUGCUGACGAGUGGCGAACGGGUGAGUAAUGCAUCGGAACGUGCCCAGACGCGGGGGAUAACGCAGCGAAAGCUGCGCUAAUACCGCAUACGAUCUAUGGAUGAAAGCGGGGGAGCGAAAGGCCCCGCCCGAUUGGAGCGGCCGAUGUCAGAUUAGGUAGUUGGUGGGGUAAAGGCUCACCAAGCCAACGAUCUGUAGCUGGUCUGAGAGGACGACCAGCCACACUGGGACUGAGACACGGCCCAGACUCCUACGGGAGGCAGCAGUGGGGAAUUUUGGACAAUGGGCGCAAGCCUGAUCCAGCAAUGCCGCGUGCAGGAAGAAGGCCUUCGGGUUGUAAACUGCUUUUGUACGGAACGAAACGGUCCUGGUUAAUACCUGGGGCUAAUGACGGUACCGUAAGAAUAAGCACCGGCUAACUACGUGCCAGCCGCCGCAGUAAAAC